GAAAGAAAGAAAGAAAGAAAGAAGUAAUAACCUGGAGAUUCUUUUGCCGAGUUGGAGCUGGAGCCUAAAGUUGUAGAGAAGCCUUCUCCUCCUCCUUCUUUUAUAUUUUUGCCCGAUGAUCUAAAGAAAAUGGAAAUUCUAGGUCUGGUCUUCUUCUUCUUCUUUUAUUUUUUUGCCCGAUGGCCUAAAGAAAAUGAAAUUUCUUGGCCUAGUGUGGUUGAGGCGUGCCUGGGGCACGCCUUGCGCCUCGGCCGCCUGGGCUCGCCUCAGAAUGAUCGCCUGCCUGGAGAGCUUCAUGGCGUUGAGCCAAGAGCCUGAGUCGCCUUGUGCCUCAGGCACGCCUGGGGCGCGCGCCUUUAACAACUUUGUCAAGUGAGAUGUUUACUUUUAAUGCUUGGUGUGGCUCAAAAUUAGAUAUUGUCCAACUCAGUCUCUGUGGUACUAGGUGAUGGUCCAUUAUCCAUAAUGUCAGGCUGAGGUUGUGUCAAGUCUAGGGGUGAGCAUUUGGUUAACCGAACCGAAUUGAACUGAAUUAUUAACCGACUCUAAAAAUAUUAACG
rnacentral:misc_RNA from 1 species